rnacentral:rRNA from 1 species
UACGAAGGGGGCUAGCGUUGCUCGGAAUCACUGGGUGUAAAGCGCACGUAGGCGGACUCUUAAGUCGGGGGUGAAAUCCUGGAGCUCAACUCCAGAACUGCCUUCGAUACUGGGAGUCUUGAGUUCGGGAGAGGUGAGUGGAACUGCGAGUGUAGAGGUGAAAUUCGUAGAUAUUCGCAAGAACACCGGUGGCGAAGGCGGGUCUCUGGGCCGAAAAUUGACGCUGAGGAGCGAAAGCGUGGGGAGCAAACAGG